rnacentral:rRNA from 1 species
UGGGGAAUUUUGGACAAUGGGGGCAACCCUGAUCCAGCAAUGCCGCGUGUGUGAAGAAGGCCUUCGGGUUGUAAAGCACUUUUGUCCGGGAAGAAAUCGCACCUGAUAAUACCGGGUGUGGAUGACGCUACCGGAAGAAUAAGGACCGGCUAACUACGUGCCAGCAGCCGCGGUAAUACGUAGGGUCCAAGCGUUAAUCGGAAUUACUGGGCGUAAAGCGUGCGCAGGCGGUUGUGCAAGACCGAUGUGAGAUCCCCGGGCUUAACCUGGGAAUUGCAUUGGUGACUGCACGGCUAGAGUGUGUCAGAGGGGGGUAGAAUUCCACGUGUAGCAGUGAAAUGCGUAGAGAUGUGGAGGAAUACCGAUGGCGAAGGCAGCCCCCUGGGAUAACACUGACGCUCAUGCACGAAAGCGUGGGGAGCAAACAGG